rnacentral:rRNA from 1 species
AGUGAACGCUGGCGGUAGGCCUAACACAUGCAAGUCGAACGGCAGCACAGUAAGAGCUUGCUCUUACGGGUGGCGAGUGGCGGACGGGUGAGGAAUACAUCGGAAUCUACUUUUUCGUGGGGGAUAACGUAGGGAAACUUACGCUAAUACCGCAUACGACCUACGGGUGAAAGCAGGGGAUCUUCUGACCUUGCGCGAUUGAAUUAGCCGAUGUCGGAUUAGCUAGUUGGCGGGGUAAAGGCCCACCAAGGCGACGAUCCGUAGCUGGUCUGAGAGGAUGAUCAGCCACACUGGAACUGAGACACGGUCCAGAGUCCUACGGGAGGCAGCAGUGGGGAAUAUUGGACAAUGGGCGCAAGCCUGAUCCAGCCAUACCGCGUGGGUGAAGAAGGCCUUCGGGUUGUAAAGCCCUUUUGUUGGGAAAGAAAAGCAGCAGGUUAAUACCCAGCUGUUCUGACGGUACCCAAAGAAUAAGCACCGGCUAACUUCGUG